GAGUUUGAUCCUGGCUCAGAUUGAACGUUGGCGGCAGGCCUAACACAUGCAAGUCGAGCGGAUGACGGGAGCUUGCUCCUUGAUUCAGCGGCGGACGGGUGAGUAAUGCCUGGGAAUCUGCCUGGUAGUGGGGGACAACGUUUCGAAAGGAACGCUAAUACCGCAUACGUCCUACGGGAGAAAGCAGGGGACCUUCGGGCCUUGCGCUAUCAGAUGAGCCUAGGUCGGAUUAGCUAGUUGGUGGGGUAAUGGCUCACCAAGGCGACGAUCCGUAACUGGUCUGAGAGGAUGAUCAGUCACACUGGAACUGAGACACGGUCCAGACUCCUACGGGAGGCAGCAGUGGGGAAUAUUGGACAAUGGGCGAAAGCCUGAUCCAGCCUUGCCGCGUGUGUGAAGAAGGUCUUCGGAUUGUAAAGCACUUUAAGUUGGGAGGAAGGGCAGUAAGUUAAUACCUUGCUGUUUUGACGUUACCGACAGAAUAAGCACCGGCUAACUCUGUGCCAGCCGCCGCCGUAAC
rnacentral:rRNA from 1 species